UACGUAGGCCCCGAGCGUUGUCCGGAUUUAUUGGGCGUAAAGCGAGCGCAGGUGGUUUAUUAAGUCUGGUGUAAAAGGCAGUGGCUCAACCAUUGUAUGCAUUGGAAACUGGUAGACUUGAGUGCAGGAGAGGAGAGUGGAAUUCCUAGUGUAGCGGUGAAAUGCGUAGAUAUUAGGAGGAACACCAGUGGCGAAGGCGGCUUACUGGACUGUAAAUGACGCUGAGGCUCGAAAGCGUGGGGAGCAAACAGG
rnacentral:rRNA from 1 species